ACUGAAGUGGCUCAGUUGGGAGAGCGUUAAGACUGGAAAUCAAAAGGUCCCUGGUUUAAUCCCAGGCUUCAGCA